UGUAAGCGUAUACCAAAGUUGUUGCAGUUAAAACGCUCGUAGUCGGAAUUUGGCAGUUCCGGAUGUGUGCACGUCGUGUGCGCACUUCGCGGGGAUUGCUUUUGUGGUCUUGCGUAGGAUGAGGCACUUUUAUUAGUGAACGUCCUCACGCAACCACUUUUUACUGUGAGAAAAUCAGAGUGCUCAAAGCAGGCAUUUGCCGUGAAUGUAUUAGCAUGGAAUAAUAGAAUAGGACUUGGUUCUAUUUUGUUGGUUUGUUGGGACUGAGUAAUGAUUAAGAGGGACAGUUGGGGGCAUUUGUAUUUCGGUGCUAGAGGUGAAAUUCUUAGAUUACCGAAAGACAAACUGCUGCGAAAGCGUCUGCCAAGGAUUUUUUCAUUGA
rnacentral:rRNA from 1 species